UUAUGGUAAAAAGGUGUUGUCAUGGCACUUGUAAUUCGGAUACAAGGUAGCCAGGCCGACUAAAGAUGGCUUCCAAUUCGUUCCGUAUUCGAAACCAGCGAGUUAUUUAGAAAAAUGCAAGUGCUGUAUCAGACUCUGUGGAAGACCUCAUCAACAGCUGAACUUGGAAAUUUUGAAAGAUCGUUCAAAGGCGAAACAUCUAUACGUCUGUACAAAACACUUUGUCGACGGGAAAUCCAAUCAAGAAAACCCUGACCCUCAAGCAGCUACUGUAUUUGACCAGCUCACACCAGUUAGGCCUCCUCCAAAACUCAGAUAAAUAUAUGAGCCACCAAAAAAAUACGAGAACAGAUCGGUCUGAAUCGUUAAGAACUGAAGCUAACAUCAUAGAGGUACAUCCUUCCAAGAAUCCAUCAAAACAACAUGCUGAACAACUUCAAGAACUCUCUUCAAAAGACCACACUUUCCUGAAAUAAAUAAAAGAUGCCACUAUUAAAAUAAAUCAGUUACAUGUAUUGUUAAAUAUUUUAAUACUAGCUGUAAAUGCUACUGCCUUUGAUGUUUGCUUUCUACAUGUAUA